CCAGAUAGUGAGAUGGUGCUUUACUUAAUGUUACGUGCUGUGGAUAGAUUUUUUAAACACCAUGGAAGAUAUCCAGGGGUUUAUAACUACCAAGUGGAGGAUGAUAUUGGAAAACUGAAAAUUUGUCUCAAUAGUUUUCUUCAAGAAUAUGGGUUACCUGUAACAGUGAAGGAUGACUAUAUCCAUGAGUUCUGUCGCUAUGGAGCUGCUGAGCCACAUACCAUUGCUGCGUUUUUGGGAGG